AUUGAACGCUGGCGGCAUGCCUUACACAUGCAAGUCGAACGGUAACGCGGGGCAACCUGGCGACGAGUGGCGAACGGGUGAGUAAUGUAUCGGAACGUGCCCAGUUGUGGGGGAUAACUACUCGAAAGAGUAGCUAAUACCGCAUACGACCUGAGGGUGAAAGCGGGGGAUCGCAAGACCUCGCGCAAUUGGAGCGGCCGAUAUCAGAUUAGCUAGUUGGCGGGGUAAAAGCCCACCAAGGCGACGAUCUGUAGCUGGUCUGAGAGGACGACCAGCCACACUGGGACUGAGACACGGCCCAGACUCCUACGGGAGGCAGCAGUGGGGAAUUUUGGACAAUGGACGCAAGUCUGAUCCAGCCAUGCCGCGUGCGGGAAGAAGGCCUCGG
rnacentral:rRNA from 1 species